GCUUGGAAAGUAUAAUUCAGCAGUGAAGAGAGACAAUCCCAUUUCCAAGACCGCCCUUUCCUCUCCUUCCAAGUGACCACUAUGUUGGUCCAGGCAUUUAUCACAUCCCAGCGGGACUCCUGCAUCACCUCCCUGCCUCCAGUCUCUAUUUCACUCUGUUGCCCAGAGCACCUUUCUCAAACAACCACCAUUGUGCACACCUUUUCUCUGUGCAUCAAGUAAAAAUUCCCCUCCUACUUUGUCCACUAUCUUCUGCUCCUCUGCUUCAUUUCUCCUAAGUCAGCCCAAUCACCGCCCUACACUCUUGUCUCUCUCCUUCCUCCAGCCUCUUGGUAAUGUCCUUCCUCCUGGGGGGCACCCCCCACUUACAAACCCAUCUGCUCACGCCUCUCGCCAUCUUUUGAUUCCCCUGAAAUCACAACUACCAAGAGGCUUUCCUGGAAUUUUUUUUCCCCUCCAACUGCUUACCACGUGAGCACUUCUGUGCAAACUUGGGGCUCGUAACCACAUGUAGCACUUCUGUACCCAUCGAUCAUAUACCCUUUUAUUACAGCACAUCCUCAUCUAUUAGCCUCUGACGAGGAUUUUGUUGGAUCGGAAUUAGGGCUGCUUUUGCUGUUUCCCUUUGCUGAGGACCAAAAAAUCAGCCAUCCUGUACUUAAGGCUACUAAAUGAAGACAAGAAAACAGGACUCCAUCUAGGAGUCUUUCGGCCUCGGCACCCACAACUGAACCAAACAAGAUCAAAGUCCAGAAGACCUGGAUCCUGAAAGGAAUGGGAAGAGGAGAUGAAAAAUCCUGGUGAGGAGCAGCAGAGAAGUGGGGGUUGACGUCUGGCCCAAAUUCGGAAGGAUGUAGGAGCAGCGUCUCGGGAAGAGUUAUGGGAGGAAGAGAAGAGCACCCAGCAGAGCUGAAGCAACUGAUGAGACUGGUGGAAGCAGAUACCAUCCCUAGUGGACAUCUGAGGAACCCGAGGCUCAGAGUACCCCAAGGUCACAGUGGCAGGGCUGGGGCUAGAUCCCCAAGCCUUCUGUGUCUCAACCUUGGACCACAUGCUUGCUACCAUUUCAGCUGAAAGAACUUACCCUUUGCCUGAAUUUGAAUUUACACAAGGUAGGCCCAGCUAGAAAGCCCUGAACAUUCUCUUGUAAGCCAGGCAGCCCCUGUAUUUCUUUGACAAAUCCAAUGCGACUGCCCAGUUCCCUGCUUCCUCCUCACCCCCAGCCCCACCUACGCCCAGCAGUGCAUUUUCCACUGUUUUGAGAAUCUGAAAUUUGAUUUUUUGGAACCAAUUCCACAUCCAGCUCUGUAGCACAAACAGCAGUUGAGAGGAUUAAGGGCAAUAACGAGCUGCGGCACACGACUGACCCGACUGAGGACAUGGUCAAAUGAACGGCCAAGCUGCCAAUUCCGUGCUGCCUCUGGGAAGGCCUUUGUCUGUUCCCCUGGGGUGGUACUCACCUGUCCUUCUUGGGGGACGGACAUGGUUCCACAGAAGAGAACAGAAAUGCCAUCCCUGGCCUGGUGAGCAGUGUAGGCCCGUGAGGUGCUCCACUACUCCACGUGCACACAUGCAUACACAUGCUCAUACGUACAAAUACUCACUUGCCCCUACAAGCCUGGCACCCACAUUGGCUCAUGAGAGGGAUUUCUUUGGAUUUUAAACAAGUUACAGUGCAGAGGCCAGAUUGGGGGAGGGGAGAGGGUGAUGUGACUAAGGUAAAAUGCAGACUGAAAUUUCAAGCCAUAGUUUUCUGACUCACAUACGACAACGCCCCCAUGGCAAAGUCUCCUCGGUGACAUCACUCCUUCCCAGCACCGACAGGAGACCCAAGAGGCUAAAGCAAAUGUUUGACCUCGCAGCUAAGCUCCCUGCUGGCAUUUAGAAGAAUGUUAGAAGACAACCCAAGCUUAGCCACCUCCCAGUCUCCAUCUGGAUGUCAGGGCUCUCUGCCAAAGUGAGAAGAAUGAAAGAAGUUCAACAGGACCCAGCCUCCACUUACCCUUUUAGCAGAGUGGAGAGAGGGGAAAGAUGACCGAGCUUUCUGCAAACCCAUCCCAAGAUGCAUCUGCCAUUCUAUGGACAGCAGUGGCCAUCUUGACAAUUCAUCACAUGGUGAGUUCCGGCUGACCCCAGCAGGACAAGGGUGGACUUGACAAAUGGACUUCAAGACCAUUUUGGUGAGUGAAAGCCUUGAGGCAUUUACCAGAUACUCUGAAUAUGAUGUCUUUUCAGGCUUACAAGAAAGUUGUGGAGACUGAAACCUCGUUCAACUGGGAAUAGCCCUGAAAAGUGCAGACCCUGCUUCUGCCGAGAAAGUCUGUCUCUCUCCCUCCCUCCCUCCCACCACCACCCAGAUUAACAUCAGUGUUCCUGGCUCAGUCUUGCACACAGUGUUUGGUACACCAGGAGACUCCCUCAAUUCCUCCCUUAUGCAGAUGCUAGGCCUUCUUUCUCCUCCUGGGAAACCAGCACCCAACUGUGACACCACCUUGUGCCUCAAGCUCCCCAGCUGACACAACCACGGGGACCAAGGACCACCCACAGACAACCCCACCGGGCCUGUCGCCAAGAUACUGACAAACCCCAGAGUGGGUGGGCAGUCAGACCUACACCUGCUUGCUCUCUCUAGAGAAAUGGGUUACCUUAAGCUUGUUGAUACUCUCCCCCAGCCGCUAUGCAAAUAACCUUAUCCUCUAUUUCCCCUUCUGGAAUUUCUUUUAAUGUCUGUUGGCCCACCCUAGACUCCUUGAUGGCAGGGUGUGUCUACCAAUCCCUACUAUACCAUCCUCUCACGAGCGCUUAGUCCAGUGGUCUGCACACAGUAAAUGCUCAAUAAAUACCAUUGAUUGAAUGAUUGAUACCUGACAGGGGGUCACAUGGGUUAGAUCUAGCCCUCGCAGGCCUGGGCUUUAUGGCGACAGUCAAGCUUGGCAGUGGCGGGGGCAGCAGAAGCAGGAUCUUAGGGUGCCGGUGGGCACCGCGCACCGGCUGAGUCGCUUAAAGCCCACAGGGAGCAAGCCGGCCGGCUGCAGGCGAUAUCUGCAAAAGCAAGAGACUUGUAAAGCGGAACAGGUAGAAGAAACAGCCAGAUUCAUAUGCUGAGGACUUAGUCCAAGCAUCUGAAGUGGCACGAUGCAAAAAUGCAGAACUUGAGAGACCACAUUACCUCAUCUUGCCUUACUACGUUUUCAAGGAGAGUAGCCAAGAGACGAACUCUCCAAUACACUUAGCACUCAUCGUGACUAUCACGCUGGUAACAGGGGCAGCGGUAUCCUCAAUCCUACAGAUGAACUCCACCGGCCACAGGAAGAUUUCAGGGGUUGGGGAGGUGGUGGUGGUUGGGGGAGGGGUGGUUAUGGCUAUCCUCGCUUGCCAAUUUACAGCAGCCAUUUUAGAUAGUGAGAUGAUGACCAGCAGGGACCAUUCGGGAACACAAUUUCAAGGCUGAAGAAGGGAAGUUUAGCUCACUUGCAAGUCGUUUGGAGCCCCCCUGGAGGCAUUCUUCCUCAGCCCAGUCUCUCUGGAUCAUUCACGAUCAGUCAGGACAGCCCCUCCACCACCCGUAGUCCUCUUUCUCCUCACAGGUUUACCUCUUGGCCACUUGACCUCGCCCCUUCAAACAGGGAUGAGAAGAAUUCCCUCGAGUCCAGUGACUUAUACCCUACUGCAUGAGAGCAGUGGGUUUCCAUUCCUAGAGGGAGAAGCAAGAAGACAAGGAGGACAAAGAAGAGUAGCUGGGCAAGACAAGCUGCUCAGCUCACCUCUAAACUCCUUGCAAGAACCGAUCCAGUCUAAAAGUGACAGAAAAAAGCCAACUGUGGGAAACAGCUGCCAUCCCAUCUAUCCACCAGGAGCACAGAGCUAUAAACAUCAUUAAAAUUUAUUAACAAAA